rnacentral:tRNA from 1 species
GGGGGUGUAGCUCAAUGGUAGAGUGCUUGCCUAGCAUGUGUAAGGGCCUGGGUUCGAUUCCUAACAUCACCG